rnacentral:rRNA from 1 species
UUUAUCCUACGGGGCGCAGCAGUAGGGAAUUUUCGUCAAUGGGCGCAAGCCUGAACGAGCAAUGCCGCGUGAACGAGGAAAGUCUUCGGAUCGUAAAGUUCUGUUGAAGGGGAAAAAGAGCGGAGAGAGGAAAUGGUCUCCGAUUGAUAUUACCCUUCGAGGAAGUCACGGCUAACUACGUGCCAGCAGCCGCGGUAAUACGUAGGUGGCGAGCGUUAUCCGGAAUUACUGGGUGUAAAGGGAGCGUAGACGGUUAAGUAAGUCUGGAGUGAAAGGCCGGGGCCCAACCCCGGGACUGCUCUGGA